rnacentral:rRNA from 1 species
ACAGAGACUGCAAGCGUUAUUCGGAUUCACUGGGCGUAAAGGGUGCGCAGGCGGCCGUGUGUGUUGGGCGUGAAAGCCCGGGGCUUAACCCCGGAAUUGCGCUCAAAACUAUAUGGCUAGAGCAUUGGAGAGGGUAGCAGAAUUCAUGGUGUAGCAGUGAAAUGCGUAGAUAUCAUGAGGAAUACCAGAGGCGAAGGCGGCUACCUGGACAAUUGCUGACGCUCAGGCACGAAAGCGUGGGGAGCAAAAGGGAUUAGAAACCCCCGUAGUCC